rnacentral:rRNA from 1 species
CUCAUAGCGUAUAUUAAGUUGUUGCAGUUAAAACGCUCGUAGUCGGAUUUCGGGGCGGGCUGCUCGGUCUGCCGAUGGGUAUGCACUGGGUGGCGCGUCCUUCCUUCCGGAGACCGCGCCUUCUCUUAACUGAGCGGGCGCGGGAGACGGAACGUUUACUUUGAAAAAAUCAGAGUGUUUCAAGCAGGCAUCUCGCUCUUGCAUGGAUUAGCAUGGGAUAAUGAAAUAGGACUUUGGUGCUAUUUUGUUGGUUUCGAACACCGAAGUAAUGAUUAACAGGGACAGUCAGGGGCACUCGUAUUCCGUCGAGAGAGGUGAAAUUCUCAGACCAACGGAAGACGAACCACUGCGAAAGCAUUUGCCAGGGAUGUUUUCACUGAUCAAGAACGAAAGUUAGGGGAUCGAAGACGAUCAGAUACCGUCGUAGUCUUAACCAUAAACCAUGCCGACUAGGGAUUCGAGGGUGUUCCAUCUGUGACCCCUUGAGCACCUUUCGGGAAACUAAAGUCUUUGGGUUCCGGGGGGAGUAUGGUCGCAAGGCUGAAACUUAAAGGAAUUGACGGAAGGGCACCACCAGGAGUGGAGCCUGCGGCUUAAUUUGACUCAACACGGGGAAACUUACCAGGUCCAGACAUUGUGAGGAUUGACAGAUUGAGAGCUCCUUCUUGAUUCAAUGGGUGGUGGUGCAUGGCCGUUCUUAGUUGGUGGAGUGAUUUGUCUG